UGCCAGCCGCCGCGGUAAUACGGAGGGGGCUAGCGUUGUUCGGAAUUAUUGGGCGUAAAGAGCAUGUAGGCGGACUGUUAAGUCUGAUGUGAAAGCCCGGGGCUCAACCCCGGAAGUGCAUUGGAUACUGGCAGUCUUGAGUAUGGGAGAGGAAAGUGGAAUUCCGAGUGUAGGAGUGAAAUCCGUAGAUAUUCGGAGGAACACCAGUGGCGAAGGCGGCUUUCUGGACCGAUACUGACGCUGAGACGCGAAAGCGUGGGGGGCAAACAGGAUUAGAUA
rnacentral:rRNA from 1 species